GAUGAACGCUAGCGGCAGGCCUAACACAUGCAAGUCGAGGGGUAGAGGAAGCUUGCUUCCUUGAGACCGGCGCACGGGUGCGUAACGCGUAUGCAAUCUACCUUUUACAGAGGGAUAGCCCAGAGAAAUUUGGAUUAAUACCUCAUAGUAUAUAUCAUUCGCAUGUUUGGUAUAUUAAAGUUCCAACGGUAAAAGAUGAGCAUGCGUCCCAUUAAUUAGUUGGUAAGGUAACGGCUUACCAAGACGAUGAUGGGUAGGGGUCCUGAGAGGGGGAUCCCCCACACUGGUACUGAGACACGGACCAGACUCCUACGGGAGGCAGCAGUGAGGAAUAUUGGUCAAUGGACGCAAGUCUGAACCAGCCAUGACGCGUGCAGGAAGACGGUCCUAUGGAUUGUAAACUGCUUUUGUACGGGAAGAAACACUCCUACGUGUAGGAGCCUGACGGUACCGUAAGAAUAAGGAUCGGCUAACUCCGUGCCAGCCGCCGCAGUAAGAC
rnacentral:rRNA from 1 species